rnacentral:rRNA from 1 species
GGCCAGACUCCUACGGGAGGCAGCAGUGGGGAAUAUUGCACAAUGGGGGAAACCCUGAUGCAGCGACGCCGCGUGAGCGAAGAAGUAUUUCGGUAUGUAAAGCUCUAUCAGCAGGGAAGAAAUUGACGGUACCUGAGUAAGAAGCUCCGGCUAAAUACGUGCCAGCAGCCGCGGUAAUACGUAUGGAGCAAGCGUUAUCCGGAUUUACUGGGUGUAAAGGGAGCGUAGGCGGCCUGCCAAGUCUGAUGUGAAAUACCGGGGCUCAACCCCGGGACUGCUCUUGGAACUGCGCGGCUGGAGUGCAGGAGGGGCAGGCGGAAUUCCUGGUGUAGCGGUGAAAUGCGUAGAUAUCAGGAGGAACACCGGCGGCGAAGGCGGCCUGCUGGACUGCAACUGACGUUGAGGCCCGAAAGCGUGGGGAGCAAACAGGAUUAGAUACCCUA